ACAGUGGUGGUUCAGUGGUAGAAUUCUUGCCUUCCGUGUGAGAGACCCAGGUUCAAUUCCUAGCCAAUGCA
rnacentral:tRNA from 1 species